UACGUAGGGGGCAAGCGUUGUCCGGAUUUAUUGGGCGUAAAGAGCGUGUAGGCGGUUUGGUAGGUCCGCUGUGAAAACUCGAGGCUCAACCUCGAGACGCCGGUGGAAACCAUCAGACUAGAGUCCGGAAGAGGAGAGUGGAAUUCCUGGUGUAGCGGUGAAAUGCGUAGAUAUCAGGAGGAACACCUGUGGCGAAGGCGGCCCUCUGGACGGAUACUGACGCUGAGACGCGAAAGCGUGGGGAGCAAACAGG
rnacentral:rRNA from 1 species